AACCCUAGAGACAAACAUACAUUUCCUCGUACCCCUUUCAUCUUCCUCGUAUUGAAUGAGUGACCCCGCCUGAGCUGCCGCCGAUGGUGAACGCCACCACCACCAAUGGCCUCCAGAUUAAAAUUCCGUCUUCUCCUCGUCUCCCUCGUCUCGAUUCCCCAGUUCAUUUCUCUCAAAUCCUAGCCUAGCUCGUCGAAUCUUGGCCCAAAGCUUUUCCGACCAAGAUGCAAAACCAUCCAAACCUUACAAAAUUAACACCGUAGGAUCGCCGUAACAUCCUCUUUCAAACCCCCAAAGAGACAUCCCUAAAAAAUGGCUGGAACGCCUCGAAUAUCAAAAUGAAACUUUCCAGCUAAAACUCUAACUGCCCCAAACUUUACCAUGCCCAAAGCUUUUCCGACAAAGAUGCAAAACCAUCCAAACCUUACCAAAUUAACACCGUAGAAUCGUCGUAGCAUCCUAUUUCAAACCCCAAAGAGACAUCCCUCGAAAAUGGCUGGAAGGCGUCGAAUCUCAAAAUAAAUUUUUCCGGCCAAAACUCUAAUUGCCCAAAACUUCACCAAUAUGAUACCAAAUGACCCUCUAACCUUCCUCGUAGUGAAUCGGUCAUUAAUCAAGUUUCAUUUCUGCCAGAGUUGGUCGUGUUCGAAUUUGAAAAUUUGACAGAAGUCGCGAAGUAAGUCAGUAAGUUUCAACUUAUUUUUAUUUUUAUUUUUCCUUGAUGUUCUGACCUCCCAUGACUAGGUAGCUUUUUAACUUUGUUUUGUAAUAGUUGUCAGUCCGAAAUCAAUGACUCUUCAUUAUUUACGUUUCACUUUUUGGUCCUUGUCAGCUUGAUUCAUGUUAGUUUGGGGGAUUGAUUGGUUAUUUGUUAGAUUUGUUUCUAUUUGGCUAUUUGAGUAAUGAUUCUCAAUUUUGAUGUUGAUAUUUUUAAUUUCCUAAAUCUUUUGAUAGUUAAAGUUUCAGUAUGAAUUUGGGUUUAUUGGAUUGAUCUGAUGCAUUUUCAAGUAUAUUCGAUGUGAAUCAAGCUAGUUUGGUUAGUCUUUCCUAUUUCUUUUGGUGUUUGGUUGUCUACUGGGCGUCCUUGACACUAUUUCUUGGAUGGGUAUUGUCGAAUUCUGUUGUUGCUGAGAGUUGUUGCUUGCUGCUGACCUCUUCAUGUUCUUCCUGUUCCAUUAAAUUCAGGUACACGCCUAAAACUGGCCCAAUGUAGCUGUUUAAAUUGAAAGCUGAAAUGAAAUGGUCUUCUUUGGAAUUUAUGUGCUUGAGCUGCUGGUGGAGUAGUAGUAAAUAAUUUGUGUUUGUUUAAAAUCAUUUUGGUUUGUAUUUGUAUUGUAUAAUUGAACUGAUAGAACUGUUAUAGUAUUGGUUCGAAUUAGUUUUUGUGUAGUUCAAUUCCGGAAUUAAAAGCAAGUUAAAAUUGGGAAAUGGUUUAGAAAUAUAUGAGUUUCAAUUGUAUCAAUGACAUUGAGCUGAAACCAGUAUGCA
rnacentral:lncRNA from 1 species